UGGGGAAUAUUGCACAAUGGGGGAAACCCUGAUGCAGCGACGCCGCGUGAGUGAAGAAGUAUUUCGGUAUGUAAAGCUCUAUCAGCAGGGAAGAGAAUGACGGUACCUGAGUAAGAACGCCCCGGCUAACUACGUCGCC
rnacentral:rRNA from 1 species